UGGGGGUUAUGUAUGUGUCUGAU
rnacentral:piRNA from 1 species